rnacentral:rRNA from 1 species
UACGAAGGGGGCUAGCGUUGCUCGGAAUCACUGGGCGUAAAGCGCACGUAGGCGGACUCUUAAGUCGGUGGUGAAAUCCUGGAGCUCAACUCCAGAACUGCCUUCGAUACUGAGAGUCUCGAGUCCGGGAGAGGUGAGUGGAACGGCGAGUGUAGAGGUGAAAUUCGUAGAUAUUCGCAAGAACACCAGUGGCGAAGGCGGCUCACUGGCCCGGUACUGACGCUGAGGUGCGAAAGCGUGGGGAGCAAACAGG